GUCAGGAUAGCUCAGUUGUUAGAGCAUGAGAUGCUUAUUAAUCUCAGGGUCAUGGGCUCGAAUCCCAAGUUGGGCA